rnacentral:rRNA from 1 species
UACGUAGGCAGCGAGCGUUGUUCGGAAUUACUGGGCGUAAAGAGUGUGUAGGCGGUGCUCUAAGUUCGGUGUGAAAUCUCUCGGCUUAACUGGGAGGGUGCGCCGGAAACUGGAGUGCUCGAACGUGGGAGAGGAAAGCGGAAUUCUUGGUGUAGCGGUGAAAUGCGUAGAUAUCAAGAGGAACACCUGAGGUGAAGACGGGUUGCUGGGCUGAUACUGACGCUGAGGCGCGAAAGCUAGGGUAGCAAACGGG